rnacentral:rRNA from 1 species
AACGAACGCUGGCGGCGUGGAUAAGACAUGCAAGUCGAACGGGAUAACAUCUGUAGCAAUACAGGUGUUAUUUAGUGGCGAACGGGUGCGUAACACGUGGGCAAUCUGCCGAGAAGUGGGGAUAGCUCGCCGAAACGGACGAAUUAAUACCGCAUAUGAUCAGUGAAGACAUCUUCACGACAUCAAACGCCGGGGCGAACCUGGCGCUUCUUGAUGAGCCCGCGGCCUAUCAGCUAGUUGGUGAGGUAACGGCUCACCAAGGCUAUGACGGGUAGCUGGUCUGAGGAGGACGACCAGUCACACUGGAACUGA